UAGGGAAUAUUGGACAAUGGGUGCAAGCCUGAUCCAGCCAUGCCGCGUGCAGGAAGAAGGCUUUCUGAGUUGUAAACUGCUUUUGCCAGGGGAUAAAAUAACCAUGCGUGGUUGAUUGAAGGUACCUGGUGAAUAAGCCACGGCUAACUACGUGCCAGCAGCCGCGGUAAUACGUAGGUGGCAAGCGUUGUCCGGAUUUAUUGGGUUUAAAGGGUGCGUAGGCGGUCUUUUAAGUCAGUGGUGAAAUACUUCAGCUCAACUGGAGAGGUGCCAUUGAUACUGGGAGACUUGAGUACUGAUGAGGUAGGCGGAAUGGACGGUGUAGCGGUGAAAUGCUUAGAUAUCGUCCAGAACACCGAUAGCGAAGGCAGCUUACUAAGGAGUAACUGACGCUGAGGCACGAAAGUGUGGGGAUCAAACAG
rnacentral:rRNA from 1 species